CUGCGGAAGCAAGCGCAAGUUCAGCUUUAGACAGUGCCUUCUCAUGACUGGACCUUUUCUUAAAAGGCUUUCUCCGAGGUACCUUCUUCAUUUUCAAGGGAAGACAGUAUGGGAGGAGGUCAAUCCAAAACCGGCCCCAGCACCAACAAACCAACCACAGUAGCUCCAACAACUACUGCUGCUCCCUGUCUCUGCAACUACCCCAAAAAAGAACUUCAUUUGGUCUUAGCCUUUCUUGCUGGGAUUCUGCUGACACUGCUAUUGGUGGCGGUUGUCUUCCUUGUCAUAAAGAGCUACAGGAAAUGCCACUCAAGUCCCCAGGCUCUGGAUUCUCACUCAGAUUCUCUUGCCAAGUUUUCAACCCCCCGGGAGGAUGGAAACUCUGCCAGCAUGGAUUUCAAAACCUUGAAAGAAACGAGGGACCACUGGAGUGCAAGCAAUU